UGCAGUUAAAAAGCUCGUAGUCGGAUUUCAGGUUUGUUGUAAUAAUCUCUAUAGACUGUUACCGCAAAUCUUCUUUGACAGAAGAGUAUUUGGCAUUGACUUGCUGAGUGCAUCGACUGUCUCUUUUACUUUGAGAAAAUUAGAGUGUUCAAAGCAGGUUUUUUGCCUGAAUAUUACUCUUGGAAUAAUACUAUAGGACUCUGGUUCUUGUUUGUUGGUUUACAGGUGCCGGAGUAAUGAUUAAUAGCGACGGUUGGGGUCAUUCGUACUGCAAAGCGAGAGGUGAAAUUCUUGGACCUUUGUAUGACGAACAACUGCGAAAGCAUUUGACUAGGACGUUCGCGUUGAUCAAGAACGAAAGUUGGGGGAUCGAAGACGAUCAGAUACCGUCGUAGUCUCAACCAUAAACUAUGCCAGCUAGGGAUGAGCGAAUGUUAACUACUGACUUCGUUUGCACCUUAUGAGAAAUCAAAGCAUUUGGGUUCCGGGGGGAGUAUGUUCGCAAGAAUGAAACUUAAAGGAAUUGACGGAAGGGCACCACCAGGAGUGGAACCUGCGGUUUAAUUUGACUCAACACGGGAAAACUCACCAGGUCCAGACAUAGGAAGGAUUGACAGAUUGAGAGCUCUU
rnacentral:rRNA from 1 species